rfam:Sphaerobolus stellatus SS14 unplaced genomic scaffold SPHSTscaffold_30, whole genome shotgun sequence.
GACCAUGUGGUUUAAUGGUAUAACAUUUGCUUAGCAUUUGUGGUUUGCGAAAGGUCCAGCGUUCAAUUCGCCGCUUGUCCA